rnacentral:snRNA from 1 species
GUGCUUGCAUGGACAGCACAUAUACCAAGAUUGGGACCCUACAGAGAAGAUUAGCAUGGCCCCUGCCCAAGGAUGGCACCCCAAUUUGUUAUGCAUCCCAUAUUUUG